UGCCAGCAGCGCGGUAACACGUAGGGGGCGAGCGUUGUCCGGAAUUAUUGGGCGUAAAGGGCACGCAGGCGGCUUCUUAAGUCCGAUGUGAAAGCCCGUGGCUCAACCACGGGAUGGCAUUGGAAACUGAGAAGCUUGAGUGCAGGAGAGGAGAGCGGAAUUCCACGUGUAGCGGUGAAAUGCGUAGAUAUGUGGAGGAACACCAGUGGCGAAGGCGGCUCUCUGGCCUGUAACUGACGCUGAGGUGCGAAAGCGUGGGGAGCGAACAGG
rnacentral:rRNA from 1 species